UUGCGGUUACAUCAUAAAAAUUCCUCGGGUCCUGGAAGCAGCCCGGGAAUAUUUGCAUAUGUAUAUCCUUCGUUUUCACAGCACAGCCUGGCUGCCAGAUGGGAAAACCGACGGAGCCUCCAACGUUUAUCCGCGACUCCGACGCUUUUCCUGCGCCGGGAACCGCGGCGGAAGCGAGGAUUUUUCCAGGAUUGUGGAGCCAUCCAGGAUCUGUAAAUCCAGGAGCACCAGGAUUUCUGCUGGAAGUCAUUCCCAGCUGGAAUUUUGGAAGCAGGAAAGGCCCAGCAGAGGAGCACAUGCAUCACUUCUGGGAGCUUUUGGAGACUUUGGAAAUCCUUUUAGUGCUGAGGGGGGUAAGAAAAAGGCCCUGGCAUGGGACAAGCACCUUUCAAACCCUGAUGGAAAACAGAGCAAAUCCCACUCCCUGCGUGGUUUUACUCUUCAGAUCCAGAUCUUUGGUUUUCUGGGUGGGCAAAUGGAAAAGUGGGAUAGGCUAAAAACCAGGAGCAAUGGCAAACUGUGCUGGGAGAUGGAAAAGAGCAGCUCAGGGAAAAUGGGAUGGAUUUUCCCUGCAGCCCAAGGAAUGUUGCAGCCCUUUUCUAAUGUCUUUUUUGAAGUGGAUUUUAUAUUUGAAUCCCAAACUUCCUGAGGCUGGAAAAGAUUUCCAGGAUUGUUGAGUCCAACCUGUGAUGGAUCAACAUUGUUUCACCCAGCCCAGAGCCCUGAGUGCCAGAUCCAGGAAUUCCUUGGA